UGCUGGUCCAUGGUGAUUUGAUGGUUGUCUGACCAUAAAAGUGUCAGAGAGUAUGAUGUUUUGAUGUUGGUUGGUACAGAUUAUGAAGGACAUGAUGGAAUCUAGAUUACAUAUCUCAGGACGGACAUUGGAGAGGAGGUAAAGAGAUAUCGGACAAGAUGGGUUUCUCUAGCUGAAAAGAAAGUAGAAAACAUUUUACUUGCUUUCUCGCUGUGCUUUGAUUGAUCAUCCGGAUGCUCUGUUAAUUUGCACUCCUCUUGGGGUGAUAUCGAGGAAAUGAUCUGAUGGGUAUUGCCUCAUCUCUCUCUUUUAAAAUCAUCUGCUCUACGGAAAUAGAUCUACUAGAUCUAAUAAAUGCGGAAAUCCUUGAUGAAAUGCAUUUGAUCU
rnacentral:lncRNA from 1 species